AAGCGGUGGAGCAUUGUGGUUUAAUUCGACGCAACGCGAAGACCUUACCUGGAUUUGACAUCCCGGGAAUCUUUCUGAAAGGAUUGAGUGCCUUCGGGAGCCCGGUGACAGGUGCUGCAUGGCUGUCGUCAGCUCGUGUCGUGAGAUGUUGGGUUAAGUCCCGCAACGAGCGCAACCCUUUAUCUUUAGUUACCAUCAUUAAGUUGGGGACUCUAAGAUACUGCCCGGUUAACGGGGAGGAAGGUGGGAUGACGUCAAGUCCUCAUGGCCUUUAUGUCCAGGGCUACACACGUGCUACAAUGGGUUGUACAAAGGGUUGCGAACUCGCGAGAGUAAGCCAAUCCCAAAAAGCAACUCUUAGUUCGGAUUGGAGUCUGCAACUCGACUCCAUGAAGCUGGAAUCGCUAGUAAUCGUGGAUCAGCAUGCCACGGUGAAUAUGUCCCUGCUCCUU
rnacentral:rRNA from 1 species